GACGAACGCUGGCGGCGUGCCUAAUACAUGCAAGUCGAACGCAGUGGGGACGGGGGAGUAACACGUGGGUAACCUACCGUCAGAGGGGAGAACACUUGGAAACAGGGGCUAAACCGAUACUGAUGGAUGGAACCGCGGUGCAUUAGCUAGUUGGUGAGGUAACGGCUCACCAAGGCCACGAUGCAUAGCCGACCUGAGAGGUUGAUCGGCCACCCUGGGACUGAGACACGGCCCAGACUCCUACGGGAGGCAGCAGUAGGGAAUCUUCCGCAAUGGACGAAAGUCUGACCGAGCAACGCCGCGUGAGUGAAGAAGGUUUUCGGAUCGUAAAACUCUUUUGUUAGAGAAGCGGUAUCUAACCAGAAAGCCACGGCUAACUACGUGCCAGCCGCCGCGGUAAUUC
rnacentral:rRNA from 1 species